GAUGAACGCUGGCGGCGUGCCUAAUACAUGCAAGUCGAGCGAACGGACGAGAAGCUUGCUUCUCUGAUGUUAGCGGCGGACGGGUGAGUAACACGUGGAUAACCUACCUAUAAGACUGGGAUAACUUCGGGAAACCGGAGCUAAUACCGGAUAAUAUUUUGAACCGCAUGGUUCAAUAGUGAAAGACGGUCUUGCUGUCACUUAUAGAUGGAUCCGCGCUGCAUUAGCUAGUUGGUAAGGUAACGGCUUACCAAGGCAACGAUGCAUAGCCGACCUGAGAGGGUGAUCGGCCACACUGGAACUAAGACACGGUCCAGACUCCUACGGGAGGCAGCAGUAGGGAAUCUUCCGCAAUGGGCGAAAGCCUGACGGAGCAACGCCGCGUGAGUGAUGAAGGUCUUCGGAUCGUAAAACUCUGUUAUUAGGGAAGAACAUAUGUGUAAGUAACUGUGCACAUCUUGACGGUACCUAAUCAGAAAGCCACGGCUAACUACGUG
rnacentral:rRNA from 1 species